CAGACGAAAAAAGACAUAUGGGACAUCUGUUAGGUUCCACAAUGUAUCUCUUAAAGAUAAAGGAAAUGUUGUAAGCUGUGUUCAUAAGCAGUGGUCCGUGUACAUUCUCUGAAACGGAACACAGUCACCAUGAAUGUUAGGUUGCUGGUCCUCGCAACGGCGAUAGUGCUUUGCAACGCUGAACCACGAAAAUACGAUGGAUAUAAGCUACUUCGUAUCACCCCGACAAAUGAAAAUGAGAUCCAAAUGCUAACAAAACUGAAAUCAGUUAUUCAAGAUAAGGUACAAUAUUUUAAA